GCUGGUUUGGCGGAAAUACGCGUAAAGUUUAGGACUUUAGUAUGAAAAUUUUUCAAUCGGCG
rnacentral:tRNA from 1 species